rnacentral:rRNA from 1 species
UACGUAGGGUGCAAGCGUUAAUCGGAAUACUGGGCGUAAAGCGUGCGCAGGCGGUGAUGUAAGACAGAUGUGAAAUCCCCGGGCUCAACCUGGGAACUGCAUUUGUGACUGCAUCGCUGGAGUGCGGCAGAGGGGGAUGGAAUUCCGCGUGUAGCAGUGAAAUGCGUAGAGUAUGCGGAGGAACACGAUGGCGAAGGCACUCCCUGGGCCGACACUGACGCUCAUGCACGA